UACGUAGGGUGCAAGCGUUGUCCGGAAUUAUUGGGCGUAAAGAGCUCGUAGGCGGUUUGUCGCGUCUGCUGUGAAAACCCGAGGCUCAACCUCGGGCCUGCAGUGGGUACGGGCAGACUAGAGUGCGGUAGGGGAGAUUGGAAUUCCUGGUGUAGCGGUGGAAUGCGCAGAUAUCAGGAGGAACACCAAGUGGCGAAGGCAGAUCUCUGGGCCGUAACUGACGCUGGAGGAGCGAAAGCAUGGGGAGCGAACAGG
rnacentral:rRNA from 1 species